AUUGAACGCUGGCGGCAUGCUUUACACAUGCAAGUCGAACGGCAGCGGGGUAGUGCUUGCACUACUGCCGGCGAGUGGCGAACGGGUGAGUAAUAUAUCGGAACGUACCGAGUAAUGGGGGAUAACCAAUCGAAAGAUUGGCUAAUACCGCAUACGUCCUGAGGGAGAAAGCGGGGGAUCGCAAGACCUCGCGUUAUUCGAGCGGCCGAUAACUGAUUAGCUAGUUGGUGGGGUAAAGGCCUACCAAGGCGACGAUCAGUAGCGGGUCUGAGAGGACGAUCCGCCACACUGGGACUGAGACACGGCCCAGACUCCUACGGGAGGCAGCAGUGGGGAAUUUUGGUCAAUGGGGGCAACCCUGAUCCAGCCAUGCCGCGUGUAUGAAGAAGGCCUUCGGGUUGUAAAGUACUUUUGUUAGGGAAGAAAAGGGAGGUGCUAAUACCACUUUUUGCUGACGGUACCUAAAGAAUAAGCACCGGCUAACUACGUG
rnacentral:rRNA from 1 species